AUGUACUUAGCCAGUGCUACAAGACCUGACAUCUCUUUUGCUGUUAGCAAACUGAGUCGGUUUGUCUCAAAACCAGGAGAUGUGCAUUUGAAAGCUCUAGAGAGAGUUUUGCGUUAUUUGAAAGGCACUGCGAAUUAUGGAAUUCACUACACUGGGCACCCAAAGGUGCUUGAAGGGUAUAGUGACUCAAACUGGAUAUUAGAUGCUGAUGAGAUAAAGGCCACGAGCGGAUAUGUAUUCACUCAUGGAGGUGGCGCUGUUUCUUGGAAGUCUUGCAAGCAGACCAUCUUAACGAGGUCAACAAUGGAAGCAGAACUCACAACACUAGAUACAGCUACGGUCGAAGCAGAUUGGCUUCUCCGGCUCUUGAAUGACUUGCCGGUUGUUGAGAAACCUGUACUGGGUAUCCUUAUGAACUGCGACAAUCAAACUGUGAUCACGAAAGUGAGCAGUUCAAAGGAUAACAUGAAGUCAUCAAGACACGUUCAGAGAAGGUUAAAAUCUAUCAGGAAAAUGAAAAACUCCAGAGUUAUUGCAUUGGAUUAUAUCCAAACGUCUAAAAAUCUGGCAGAUCCUUUCACUAAGGGUCUAUCACGUAAUGUGAUAGAUAAUGCAUUGAGGGAGAUGGGUAUGAGACCCACA
rnacentral:rRNA from 1 species